rnacentral:rRNA from 1 species
UGCAAGUCGAACGAUGAAGCUUCUAGCUUGCUAGAAGUGGAUUAGUGGCGCACGGGUGAGUAAGGUAUAGUUAAUCUGCCCUACACAAGAGGACAACAGUUGGAAACGACUGCUAAUACUCUAUACUCCUGCUUAACACAAGUUGAGUAGGGAAAGUUUUUCGGUGUAGGAUGAGACUAUAUAGUAUCAGCUAGUUGGUAAGGUAAUGGCUUACCAAGGCUAUGACGCUUAACUGGUCUGAGAGGAUGAUCAGUCACACUGGAACUGAGACACGGUCCAGACUCCUACGGGAGGCAGCAGUAGGGAAUAUUGCGCAAUGGGGGAAACCCUGACGCAGCAACGCCGCGUGGAGGAUGACACUUUUCGGAGCGUAAACUCCUUUUCUUAGGGAAGAAUUCUGACGGUACCUAAGGAAUAAGCACCGGCUAACUCCGUGCCAGCAGCCGCGGUAAUACGGAGGGUGCAAGCGUUACUCGGAAUCACUGGGCGUAAAGGGCGCGUAGGCGGAUUAUCAAGUCUCUUGUGAAAUCUAAUGGCUUAACCAUUAAACUGCUUGGGAAACUGAUAGUCUAGAGUGAGGGAGAGGCAGAUGGAAUUGGUGGUGUAGGGGUAAAAUCCGUAGAUAUCACCAAGAAUACCCAUUGCGAAGGCGAUCUGCUGGAACUCAACUGACGCUAAGGCGCGAAAGCGUGGGGAGCAAACAGGAUUAGAUACCCUGGUAGUCCACGCCCUAAACGAUGUACACUAGUUGUUGGGGUGCUAGUCAUCUCAGUAAUGCAGCUAACGCAUUAAGUGUACCGCCUGGGGAGUACGGUCGCAAGAUUAAAACUCAAAGGAAUAGACGGGGACCCGCACAAGCGGUGGAGCAUGUGGUUUAAUUCGAAGAUACGCGAAGAACCUUACCUGGGCUUGAUAUCCUAAGAACCUUAUAGAGAUAUGAGGGUGCUAGCUUGCUAGAACUUAGAGACAGGUGCUGCACGGCUGUCGUCAGCUCGUGUCGUGAGAUGUUGGGUUAAGUCCCGCAACGAGCGCAACCCACGUAUUUAGUUGCUAACGGUUCGGCCGAGCACUCUAAAUAGACUGCCUUCGUAAGGAGGAGGAAGGUGUGGACGACGUCAAGUCAUCAUGGCCCUUAUGCCCAGGGCGACACACGUGCUACAAUGGCAUAUACAAUGAGACGCAAUACCGCGAGGUGGAGCAAAUCUAUAAAAUAUGUCCCAGUUCGGAUUGUUCUCUGCAACUCGAGAGCAUGAAGCCGGAAUCGCUAGUAAUCGUAGAUCAGCCAUGCUACGGUGAAUACGUUCCCGGGUCUUGUACUCACCGCCCGUCACACCAUGGGAGUUGAUUUCACUCGAAGCCGGAAUACUAAACUAGUUACCGUCCACAGUGGAAUUAGCGACUGGG